CCUAUUUAAGAGUUGGCUACAAGUGGGGAAGGAUCUAUUCUGGAGAUCCCCUUUUCUGGUGUUUUUUGUGGGUGAGCCUAGCAUAAGGUGAUUCAGUGUUGCAAGGAAGCAGCAGAUCCAUUCCACUUUGGAGAUGAUGAUACUGAUUAGGCUAGUGCUGAUGGCAGCUGAGGGGCAGUCUGACAAAACGGUGUCUGACA